GCGCAUCUCGUCGUGUCGCAAGAAUGGAUAUCGUUACAAGUACAUGUACUAAAAAUAAGAGAUAUAUAAUAUAAUUGGCUUACACUCGCCACAAGCUACAUCAGAGUCACAUCAGUACAUUACAUAAUCAUCAAGAGUAAGAGCAGGGUCCUACUACGGACGAAAACAAACGACAAAAGAAGAACGACGUCCAUCCUUGCUAUCCCAGGCUGCCGGCCUGGAACCCAUCCUAGAUCGAUGAAGAAGAAGAAGAAGCAACUCCAAAUGAACAAUCAACGCGCUCGCGUCAAGUAACCUUUACAUGUACCUGCAACUGGUGUUGUAGUAAUCUGUGAGCCACAGGGGACUCAGCAAUCUCAUUUCCAAA
rnacentral:lncRNA from 1 species